rnacentral:rRNA from 1 species
CCUACGGGUGGCAGCAGUGGGGAAUAUUGCACAAUGUGGGAAACCCUGAUGCAGCAACGCCGCGUGAGUGAAGAAGUAUUUCGGUAUGUAAAGCUCUAUCAGCAGGGAAGAAAAUGACGGUACCUGACUAAGAAGCGCCGGCUAACUACGUGCCAGCAGCCGCGGUAAUACGGAGGGGGCAAGCGUUAUCCGGAAUUACUGGGUGUAAAGGGAGCGUAGACGGUAGUGCAAGUCUGAAGUGAAAUCCCAUGGCUUAACCAUGGAACUGCUUUGGAAACUGUGCAGCUGGAGUGCAGGAGAGGUAAGCGGAAUGCCUGGUGUAGCGGUGAAAUGCGUAGAUAUUAGGAGGAACACCAGUGGCGAAGGCGGCUUACUGGACUGUAACUGACGUUGAGGCUCGAAAGCGUGGGGAGCAAACAGGAUUAGAUACCCGGGUAGUC